GGAGAUUUAGCUCAGUGGUAGAGCGCUUGUCUAGUAAGCGCAAGGCCCUGGGUUCGGUCCCCAGCUCCG
rfam:Rattus norvegicus chromosome 9, whole genome shotgun sequence.